rnacentral:rRNA from 1 species
UACGGGGGGGGCAAGCGUUGUUCGGAAUUACUGGGCGUAAAGGGCUCGUAGGCGGCCAACUAAGUCAGUUGUGAAAUCCCCAGGCUCAACCUGGGAACUGCGUCUGAUACUGGUUGGCUUGAAUCCGGGAGAGGGAUGCAGAAUUCCAGGUGUAGCGGUGAAAUGCGUAGAUACCAUAAAGAACACCGAUUGCGAAGGCAGCUUACUAGGCUGUAACUGACGCUGAGGCACGAAAGUGUGGGGAUCAAACAGG